rnacentral:lncRNA from 1 species
AACAGCAUGGGUACUUAGAUGUGGAUUUUCUAUCCAAUAUAGGUUUGAACAGCAUGGGUACAGUUAUAUGUGGAUUUUCUUCUGGCUCUGCCAUCCGUGAAACAGCAAGACCAACCCCUCUCUUCCUCAUCCUCCUCAGCCCACCCCGCUUGAAGACAUUGACAUUGAAGAAUUUUAUGAUGAUCCACUUUCACUGGGUCUAAAAAUGGAUUCAGAACGGAGUUCUCUUUUAC